rnacentral:rRNA from 1 species
GACGAACGCUGGCGGCGUGCUUAACACAUGCAAGUCGAACGGAAAGGCCCUGCUUUUGUGGGGUGCUCGAGUGGCGAACGGGUGAGUAACACGUGAGUAACCUGCCCUUGACUUUGGGAUAACUUCAGGAAACUGGGGCUAAUACCGGAUAGGAGCUCCUGCUGCAUGGUGGGGGUUGGAAAGUUUUGGCGGUUGGGGAUGGACUCGCGGCUUAUCAGCUUGUUGGUGGGGUAGUGGCUUACCAAGGCUUUGACGGGUAGCCGGCCUGAGAGGGUGACCGGCCACAUUGGGACUGAGAUACGGCCCAGACGCCUACGGGAGGCAGCAGUGGGGAAUAUUGCACAAUGGGCGGAAGCCUGAUGCAGCAACGCCGCGUGCGGGAUGACGGCCUUCGGGUUGUAAACCGCUUUCGCCUGUGACGAAGCGUGAGUGACGGUAAUGGGUAAAGAAGCACCGGCUAACUACGUG